UAGGGAAUAUUGGUCAAUGGGCGAGAGCCUGAACCAGCCAUGCCGCGUGCAGGAUGACGGCCUUCUGGGUUGUAAACUGCUUUUAUACGGGAAGAAAAAGUCCUUGCGAGGACAAUUGCCGGUACCGUACGAAUAAGCACCGGCUAACUCCGUGCCAGCAGCCGCGGUAAUACGGAGGGUGCAAGCGUUGUCCGGAUUUAUUGGGUUUAAAGGGUACGUAGGCGGAUUUUUAAGUCCGUGGUGAAAGCCUGCAGCUUAACUGUAGAACUGCCAUGGAUACUGGAAAUCUUGAAUUCAGUUGAGGUAAGCGGAAUUUAUGAUGUAGCGGUGAAAUGCAUAGAUAUCAUAAAGAACACCUAUUGCGAAGGCAGCUUGCUGGACUUGAAUUGACGCUGAGGUACGAAAGCGUGGGGAGCGAACAGG
rnacentral:rRNA from 1 species